GACCAAGUUCUGACAACCUUCCCUACGUACGGCCUUGCCCACGGCAUCGGUAUGUUGAUUUGGUAAAACUAAUUCUACUUAGGAGCCCGCUAAGCGCUGUAAAUGGUCACCAGUGUGGGCCUCGGAUUCCCAGAGACCAAAGACUGGCCUCUUGCCCUCUUCGUCUGCCCCUUGCUGCCCUUUCCUUAAUAGUCCAUCUGUCAAUUGGGACUUCGGCUGUUUACUGACAGCUGAAGCUCAUUAUCCCGUUUUCUGAGUCACAAAUCCAGCCUCCCUGAGGCUGCAUUCUGCACCUUCGAGGCUGUUGUUUUAUUUCUCCCUCAAAUGUAUUUUGUAUGAACAUGGGGUUAUGACCCUGGUUCUCACCUGCUGCGAUUUUGCCUUUUAGAAGACAAUUGGCAAUGUCUGGGAUAGAGCUGUUACUGGCAUUUCUCCAGAGAAUAGAGGAUAUAGAUCUAUGGGAUCUGCAAACAUGACAUUUGUUGGCCACCAGAGCCAGGCAAUCAAGGGGUAUCCUUUGAGUGGCAGAUGCAGAAACCAUCGUGCCAGACCUAUGGACGAACUCCAUUUGCUCUUCAAGCCAAAGCUUUUAAGGUUACCUCGGCCCUAACUCAUCUGUAAUUUUCAGGUGUGUUUCACAAUGUAACUGCUAUUACUCUUUCCUUCUUGUUUUUUGUUUAUAUGCAUGAGUGAAAGGAUUUCAUGGAGAAAAACUGACAUGGUUAUAAAGAUCUCAGCCAGCCGUUCAGACCGGUGUUUUUCAGCCUUGAGAAAUGAUCAGGCCUCCUGUAAACACCUCUUGUAGAUCUCUAAGAAUGUGUCAACAGAGAAACAUUGACUUAGUAAGUUAAAAGGUCUUUGUGUAU